CCUACGGGAGGCAGCAGUGGGGAAUAUUGCACAAUGGGCGCAAGCCUGAUGCAGCCACGCCGCGUGUGUGAAGAAGGCCUUCGGGUUGUAAAGCACUUUCAGCGAGGAGGAAAGGUUGUUGGCUAAUACCCAACAGCUGUGACGUUACUCGCAGAAGAAGCACCGGCUAACUCCGUGCCAGCAGCCGCGGUAAU
rnacentral:rRNA from 1 species